GCUACUGCAAGCUAUAACAAAAUUUGCUUUGAUUAUCUUCAAUCUCAACCGCUCGGGCAUAGGACGCUUAGCACCCAGUUUUCUUUUUCCGAGCUACCUACUAACCUGGCCCUUUCAACAAGAUCAACACCUGCAGCACAGGUUUGUGCAUCCCUAAAUGGGGAGAAUGACGGCAAGCUCCUCCCAUAUCCACAUUGUCCAGCGAAAGGGGGAGAUGAUGAAAGUAGGUACCAGGGGUGUACUUGCAUCUAGGAAUGCGAGGACACUGUUCGACUUGACUUUGUGCGGGGUCCAGUACAACAACAUAAAAUAAGGGCAAGAUUCGCUCCGAAGCCCACGAAAUUCCUAGCUUUACAAACCCAAUUCCUCAUCCCAAUUGAGGAACAGUUACCGUACAUCAUCGCUCCAAACCGUCGCACAUAAUCCCAUCCAUUUAGGAAACCACACCACCUAUUCCAGAAUAAACGCAUUCAACAGUGCUGCCUCUUUGCCAAUCCACACUGCCUCAUCCCAGAUCUCCAUUGUGGACGCCCCCUUACCAGGCUUCACCAGCAUCUCGGCAUCGGUCCAGCAGCUCCUAGCUGGUCUCUUGUUUCUGAAUACACAGAAAGUUCCUUUUAAUGUUUUUGCUUUUUCUCACUCGCCCCUUUCGCCCCUCUCGCGCCUCUCGCGCCUCUCGCCUCUAUCGCCACAUAUUAAUGACCUUGAGGCUCCUACAGAUCCAAAUACAGAUGGUUCAAUAGGGCACGGGUCGAAUAAUCCCACUCCCAAACUCUAUUUCUCCCUCAAAACCAGCUGUCACCCGAGUCCCCAGCAUCCACAUCCAAUCGAUUAAAAACUCGUAGCCCAGCGGAUUCGAGAUCCUGGACAACCACAGCUCACGGAGGUGAAUGACACAAUGAAACGGAAAGUGAUUCGAACACCUCCAAAUGGAGCGAAACGUGCAUGAUAUCUCUACUGCAUCCUCGUCAUAUGACCACGUCUGAAAGAGCUGAUUGAAUGAAACAGGUGAAAACAUCUACUCAAAUUUGAGCUUUCUGUUUCUUCCACCUUUUUGAUUUGUUCCUCUUGCGUAUGUCUCCAAAUAGAAUAGUAGUUACGCUCUAAGGAUCAUCGCUGUGAUGAUGUGUCAAAUUGAUUUAUCGCCUCCUGCCGAAACCGCUCCAUUCAUCCCUGCGUAAAACAUUUGAUUGCGUGAUGACCAGUCCGAUAAAAAAUGGCG
rnacentral:sRNA from 1 species